GAUGAACGCUAGCUACAGGCUUAACACAUGCAAGUCGAGGGGUAACGAGAGGAAAGCUUGCUUUCCUUGUCGACGACCGGCGCACGGGUGAGUAACGCGUAUCCAACCUGCCCCCAACUAGGGAAUAACCUUGCGAAAGUAAGACUAAUACCCUAUAAUUUCCUCAGAUGUCAUCUGACGAGGAAUAAAGAUUUAUCGGUUGUGGAUGGGGAUGCGUCUGAUUAGCUUGUUGGCGGGGUAACGGCCCACCAAGGCAACGAUCAGUAGGGGUUCUGAGAGGAAGGUCCCCCACAUUGGAACUGAGACACGGUCCAAACUCCUACGGGAGGCAGCAGUGAGGAAUAUUGGUCAAUGGGCGGAAGCCUGAACCAGCCAAGUAGCGUGCAGGAUGACGGCCCUAUGGGUUGUAGACUGCUUUUAUACAGGAAUAAAGUUAGCCACGUGUGGUUAUUUGUAGGUACUGUAUGAAUAAGGACCGGCUAAUUCCGUGCCAGCCGCCGCUGUAAGAC
rnacentral:rRNA from 1 species